CCGAUCCUUCUGGUACAUAAAAAUAGCAACUUUGUCGCAUUUUCUAUUCGUCUGGCAACUGCAAUCUCCAUUAAUCGGUUUAGUUCAGCUUCAGCACCGAAGCAUGGCGGCGUGGACUGUCGCGGCUCGCCGAGCCACCAAUAUGGCUCAGCUCUCAUCACAAACAACGUCUUCACUCCUCCAUCGGCGCGGCUUGGCUGGCGCCGCUGUUCGUGAUUGUUUCCUUGACUGGAUAGGGUGUACUCCUCUAUAGCGGUUAUAAGUUCUUCACUAGAGGCAAGGGUAAGAAUGAAGAGACAGUUGGAGAAUCAAACAAGGCUUGAGUUUGCUAUAACAUCUGCCAAGAAGUUGCCCUACUUGACUUCAGCUUUCUCUAGUUGUGAUUUUUAUCUUUGUAAUAAUGAGACUAGUUUUAGUAGCAAUAUAUGGUUUGGAAUAAUCACACCUUUUAGAAACAUAUCACUGUUAUGGUAUUCUCUAGCACAUCGCCACUGGUAAAUGGUAAUAAAUUCAAGCGUUUUGUGGGAUAAAAGCCAGUGUGGGUACUAUAACCGAAU